rnacentral:rRNA from 1 species
AUACGGAGGGUCCAGGCGUUAUCCGGAUUCAUUGGGUUUAAAGGGUCCGCAGGCGGGAAAAUAAGUCAGUGGUGAAAGCCUACAGCUCAACUGUAGAACUGCCAUUGAUACUGUUUUUCUUGAGUAUAGAUGAAGUGGGCGGAAUAUAUCAUGUAGCGGUGAAAUGCAUAGAUAUGAUAUAGAACACCGAUUGCGAAGGCAGCUCACUAAACUAUUACUGACGCUCAGGGACGAAAGCGUGGGGAGCGAACAGGAUUAGAUACCCUAGUAGUCC